rnacentral:misc_RNA from 1 species
UGCUUUGGCAGCAUCUGCUGUUGUUGAUGCGCACAACAUCUUCUAUGAUCUCCUACGAUGCAAAGUUGCACACUGGUCCAGCUGAACCGGAUUUCAAUAAGACUACGUCGUUUUGGAAACAACAGAAAAGAUUUGGAAGGCCCCACCACUGAGGAUGACCCAACAAUCGCGAUUUGGUGUUCCCAAUUCUCUGUUUCUCCUUCCCUUCCCUGCUCUCCCGCUCAAGUUUAAGCUCUCUACCAUACGCUCUGACCUACGGUGAUCGUCGGUCCUUCAAGCUACGGCAUGCUUGCUUACUUCUCAUUAUCGAUUUUGAAUUUGAUUUGGCUCCCUCUGGGCUCUAACCCUCAAGUUCCUCUAGCACAAACGACAUAGAGAACCCACUUUCUGUUGACUCGUUUACUCUUCCCUCCGUCUCUGGACAAAGCGACAGUCUGAAAUUGGUUUCUUCGCUGCCCUUUGAUUUUGAUUAUAAACUGGAUAUGUGCCUUUGUUUUGAAUGUUCCUGAAUUGCGUAUGCAUUUGUUGAUUAAUUGAGGCUUUGAGCCGUAGAUGAGGUUUGGUUUGUUAAUUUCGUGUAUGCUAGUUUACAUGGUUUGUUUAUUUUCUUUUUUGUAUAUUUACAAUUAGUUUGGCUGAAUUAAAUGGGAAAGUCGAAGUCUUUCACUUUUCUUCAAUAUCUCAUGAAAAAGGUGAACAACUUACUUUGAUUUCUGUUUGUGGUUAAUAACAGAUGGAAAGCAGUUUUGCUAAAGAGCUUUACUCAGAAAGUUUGCACCUGUCAAAAGUAGAAUUGGGUUCUUCGCAAACUGCCAAUUGUAAGCAGGAUUGAUAGUGGAAUUAGUUUUAGGCUGAUAUUUUCCUCUACAUUUUGUUGGUUAGUUUGUUAAUUUUCUUGUUUUAGAUUAAGACAUCUUGCCUAGUUCUGCGUUUUGACGAAGGUGAUUUGCAAGAUGAAGAUGGAUCUUUCUGGGGUGAUUCUGAUGAAGAAUUGGAUAAAGCAUCUGAAUUGGAUAGGGAGUGGGAGAGGAGGCGCGACCAAUUUCACACGGUGAUUAGAUAAUCUAAAGUUCCACUUUGCUCGUUAGUUUAUAGAUAUGAUAAUUUCUUUGUUAAUCUCAUUCUUGAUUGAUGACUGUUAGAUUGGAUAUCGUGACGGCCUCAUAGCAGGAAAAGAAGCUAUUGCUCAAGAUGGAUUUAACAUUGGUUUUAAGGAGUCAGUGCUUGAAGGAUACAAUUGGGGUAUGGUUAGAGGUGUUACGAGGUAAACCAAAUGAGUAUAUAUUAUAUAUUGAACUCUUUGACAUUGCUGUGGCUUUUUUUGUUUUCUAACUUCGGUUUAAAUUUUUUUUUCCUUUUCUAUUUUCUCUGGAACUCUAUACUCCAUAAAAGUGCACUUGCUUGCCUUCCAGAAGGGUUGAAAGAAAGGUUGAUUGAAACACAAGAAAAGAUGAACAAAUUCCAGACCUUGAAUGAAUCUGUGCAUUCUCUUUCAACAAUGGAUGCACUCAAAUUGUUUCAUGAUGAUAUAAUGGCAAAGAAAGAGCAUCUUAAGGCCACUUCUGAGGAGGCAAGUUCGCAAAAUGAUGGCUCAGACUGCAGUCUGGGAAAUUAUGUUGGAGAGCUUCAAUCACUUCUUCUGAAAACUCCUGCAAUUGAGUCGCAUUUAUCAGAAAAGUAAUUUUUGUACAUAACUUUGUUUGGAACACAUCUUUUUGUACUGAAAAUGGCAUAACGAAAAUCAUUAGCUCAUGACUUUGGUGGCAAGUAUUUGUUAUUAUGCUAUUUGUUGCUUCUGUAAGUGAUUCAUACCUGAGUAUUCCUUGCUGAUCUUUAUUGAGAAUUUCACUAAACAAAUCUCUUUUCUAUUUUUUUAGAAGAUCACGACAUGAUGUAGGUCGGAGAUAAUGUAAUUGUAAUUGUAGCAAUUUCAUUCAUAUGGUUAUGAAGAGAUUUGUGUAAAUUUU